AUUGAACGCUGGCGGCAGGCCUAACACAUGCAAGUCGAGCGAGCGGCGGACGGGUGAGUAAUGUAUGGGGAUCUGCCCGAUAGAGGGGGAUAACUACUGGAAACUGUAGCUAAUACCGCGUACCAUAGGAUGAGCCCAAGUGGGAUUAGGUAGUUGGUGAGGUAAAGGCUCACCAAGCCGACGAUCUCUAGCUGGUCUGAGAGGAUGACCAGCCACACUGGGACUGAGACACGGUCCAGACUCCUACGGGAGGCAGCAGUGGGGAAUAUUGCACAAUGGGCGCAAGCCUGAUGCAGCCAUGCCGCGUGUGUGAAGAAGGCCUUCGGGUUGUAAAGCACUUUCAGCGAGGAGGCGUUACUCGCAGAAGAAGCACCGGCUAACUCCGUGCCAGCAGCCGCGGUAAUUC
rnacentral:rRNA from 1 species